GUCUGUGGGCAUUUUACACUGAACUGACCUGAUCUCCUCUGAUCUCAGAGUCUAAGCAGGGUCAGGCAUGGUUAGUACUGGGAGAAACUUGACAAAGAGUGAGGAUCCUAAACUCAGUCC
rnacentral:rRNA from 1 species